rnacentral:rRNA from 1 species
GACGAACGCUAGCGGCGUGCCUAAUACAUGCAAGUUGAGCGAUGAAGCUUGGUGCUUGCACCAAUUUGAAGAGCAGCGAACGGGUGAGUAACGCGUGGGGAAUCUGCCUUUGAGCGGGGGACAACAUUUGGAAACGAAUGCUAAUACCGCAUAACAACUUUAAACAUAAGUUUUAAGUUUGAAAGAUGCAAUUGCAUCACUCAAAGAUGAUCCCGCGUUGUAUUAGCUAGUUGGUGAGGUAAAGGCUCACCAAGGCGAUGAUACAUAGCCGACCUGAGAGGGUGAUCGGCCACAUUGGGAGUGAGACACGGCCCAAACUCCUACGGGAGGCAGCAGUAGGGAAUCUUCGGCAAUGGACGAAAGUCUGACCGAGCAACGCCGCGUGAGUGAAGAAGGUUUUCGGAUCGUAAAACUCUGUUGGUAGAGAAGAACGUUGGUGAGAGUGGAAAGCUCAUCAAGUGACGGUAACUACCCAGAAAGGGACGGCUAACUACGUG